CUUCCUUGGAAAUUGAAAAAAAGAUGGAAUUUGGUUUCCGUCUAAAAUUCCAAAUGUGAUGUAGUUAAAUGAGGUCUUAGAAGAAGAAUUCCAAAAGCAAUAACAUCCAAACAUACCAUGGAACCACCGCUGAUCAAACCACCGCUCCCACCAGAACCCCCAGAUAAACAAGUCCAAAUGGAGGUGAAAAUACCACAACACUUCUACAAGGAGAUGUUCCUAAACAAACAAGUUUGUAACCAAUCUAAUUACUACGAAAUGGAAAAUCAACGAUCACUAGAGUUGGCUAAAGGGAAGCACAUUGAAGGCUCCAUCCCCCUCUCACCAGAAGAGAAGGAACGCCUCUAUGCACCUUGGAGGUACUCAGUAAUUAUCAAACUAUUCAAGAGAAAGAUGCCUCACCACAUGCUUCAAUCUAAACUAAUUGACCUAUGGAAGCCAUCUGAACAGUUAAUCUUUAUUGACCUAGGAUGGGACUUCUUCAUAGUAAAAUUUAGCUUAGAGGAAAGUAUGGUUAAGGCACUGUAUCUUGGGCCAUGGUUUGUUUCUGGACACUUCCUAUCCGUUCGGAAGUGGGAACCAAAAUUUGUAACGCAGGAAGCCACCCUUACUUCUACUGCCAUUUGGAUAAGAUUACCCCAGCUGCCAACAGAGUUCUAUGAUAAAAUCAUCUUGGAAAAAGUUGGAAGAAAAUUAGGAAAACUCCUAAAGAUUGAUCAAUGCACAUCCUCUACCCUAAGGGGGAGAUAUGCACGCAUUUGUAUUCAGGUGCCAUUAGAAACACCAGUGGAAACUUCAAUAAUCAUAGGAGACCAUAAACAAUCAGUGAUCUACGAAGGCGAAGGAACCCUAUGUACUAGCUGCGGCAGGAUAGGUCACACUACUAUAAGGUGCAAUUAUAAACCCCACUCCUCCUCAACUGCCAAUGAUACUCAAGAAGAAGCUCACCAAGUGGAACCAACCCCAGAGGCAAGUGAAUGGAAGACUCUCACCUUCCUACGACGACGAAAGCAGGGACAGCCAAAGGCACCUACCCCCAUGGAAGGUAAUGUACCAAAAUCAUAACAUACUCCGCAUGCAGAAGAGGCACAGGUAAACAUGUUUGGCGCCAUUUCAGAUUGCUGAUUCAAAGGAUGGGCAGCGUGGUAGUGAGGCACACAUACAGGGAGCAAAACAGGGUAGCUGAUGUGCUGGCGAAAGAAGCAGCUAAGGAAGUUUUUUUAAACAAAUCACUCUCUCUAGCAGUUCCUCCGGUGUUUGCCAAUGAUGUAUUUUGGGCAGACACCCUAGGAACUGAACUACCUAGAUCUUUUGUGGGUUGUAAUAUUAGUACAAUUAUGCAAAACUUUGCAACUAUGGGGGCCAUAAGGUACCCCAAUAACUCCCAAUGCAGUGUAACCCCCUAUUUAAUUA